CAGUCGCCACGGUAAUACGUAGGGUGCGAGCGUUAAUCGGAAUUACUGGGCGUAAAGCGUGCGUAGGCGGUUUGUUAAGUCUGUUGUGAAAUCCCCGGGCUCAACCUGGGAAUGGCAAUGGAUACUGGCAAGCUAGAGUGUGUCAGAGGAUGGUGGAAUUCCCGGUGUAGCGGUGAAAUGCGUAGAGAUCGGGAGGAACAUCAGUGGCGAAGGCGGCCAUCUGGGACAACACUGACGCUGAGGCACGAAAGCGUGGGGAGCAAACAGGAUUAGAUACCCCGGUAGUCCCUGUCUCUUAUAC
rnacentral:rRNA from 1 species